UUCCCGUUAACUCAGUGGUCAGAGUAGUGUGCUUAUGUCACACCGGUCGUGGGUUCAACUCCCACACGGGAAA